rnacentral:rRNA from 1 species
UGGGGAAUCUUGCACAAUGGGGGAAACCCUGAUGCAGCGACGCCGCGUGAGCGAUGAAGGCUUUCGAGUCGUAAAGCUCUGUCCUAUGGGAAGAUAAUGACGGUACCAUAGAAGAAAGCUCCGGCUAAUUACGUGCCAGCAGCCGCGGUAAUACGUAAGGGGCGAGCGUUGUCCGGAAUUAUUGGGCGUAAAGAGUGCGUAGGCGGCAAAUUAAGUCAGAUGUGAAAACUAAGGGCUCAACCCAUAGAUUGCAUCUGAAACUGAUAUGCUUGAGUCAAGGAGAGGAAAGUGGAAUUCCUAGUGUAGCGGUGGAAUGCGUAGAUAUUAGGAGGAAUACCGGUGGCGAAGGCGACUUUCUAGACUUGAACUGACGCUGAGGCACGAAAGCGUGGGGAGCAAACAGG